UACGGAGGGGGCUAGCGUUAUUCGGAAUUACUGGGCGUAAAGCGCACGUAGGCGGCUUUGUAAGUCAGAGGUGAAAGCCUGGAGCUCAACUCCAGAACUGCCUUGGAGACUGCAUCGCUUGAAUCCAGGAGAGGUGAGUGGAAUUCCGAGUGUAGAGGUGAAAUUCGUAGAUAUUCGGAAGAACACCAGUGGCGAAGGCGGCUCACUGGACUGGUAUUGACGCUGAGGUGCGAAAGCGUGGGGAGCAAACAGG
rnacentral:rRNA from 1 species